UGGGGAAUAUUGCACAAUGGGCGCAAGCCUGAUGCAGCCAUGCCGCGUGUAUGAAGAAGGCCUUCGGGUUGUAAAGUACUUUCAGCGGGGAGGAAGGGAGUAAAGUUAAUACCUUUGCUCAUUGACGUUACCCGCAGAAGAAGCACCGGCUAACUCCGUGCCAGCAGCCGCGGUAAUACGGAGGGUGCAAGCGUUAAUCGGAAUUACUGGGCGUAAAGCGCACGCAGGCGGUUUGUUAAGUCAGAUGUGAAAUCCCACGGCUCAACCGUGGAACAGCCCUUGAUACUGCGCGACUUGAAUCCGGGAGAGGGGGGUAGAAUUCCAGGUGUAGCGGUGAAAUGCGUAGAGAUCUGGAGGAAUACCGGUGGCGAAGGCGGCCCCCUGGACGAAGACUGACGCUCAGGUGCGAAAGCGUGGGGAGCAAACAGG
rnacentral:rRNA from 1 species